GUACCCAGGAGUCUAGCGCACCGCUGCGGCGUCGUCCAGGGAGACCGCAUCAAGAAGAUCGGCCAGGAGGACACGAAGAAGAUGACGCUAGAGUAUGCUAAGUCUCUGCUGGCGAAGCCCGAGUCAGCUCUGCCGAUGACGCUAGAACGGACUUAAUGGCAGCGUCGGAAGACAAGUCACUGGAGGGAUGUGGAUGCCUACGGAUGCAUGGACGAGCGCAGGUCAAAAUGAUUAAUCGCCUUUGUUAUUAAAUAUACCAUCGUAUCCACGAUCUACGCUUUAAUAAAUAAUUCAUUAUCAUUCUACAUUUUUAUUUCUUGUCACGCGCGAUAUCUCGUUAUUGCAAUGUUCGUUAUAGUUUAGACCUGGAAAUCAGUGAUUUAUCUAUCAUCGUAUCAAGAGCGUAUAAAGAAGCCUUUUUGGCUUAAGCUUUUUCUUUAAGCUUUUUUUCUUAGCCCUUCUUUAUACGCUCUUGAUCGUAUGUGUCGGUACGAAAAUUUAAAUCAUUUGGUGAUGUGUUCUUGGCUGAAAGGUUAAACGAUCAUUCAUAUAAUGUAUUUAUCUUUAAUAAACAUCGGUAUAUAUUGACA